UGAUGGUAGACUGUUUAAGGGUUUUGGGAUGACCACAGUGUGGAGAUUAUUGAUCGGUCAAAGAGUGCAGAGUGAAGUCAGGGGACAGGAAGAUACAGAAACUGUAUUCUCAUGCUGAUUCCAGUCCUCUGUGGGGGUCUUCAAACUUGUUGGCAUCAGCUGUUUCACUGCAAUUUGGGAGCUGAGAAUCAUCUUAAGCAAUUCUUAAACAAAGGUCUUAUGAGUCUAGUGUCAGAGAGCCUGUCUAUUUUAAACAAAAGCCUUAAGUAAUUCUAAUGUCGGAAAUCCCAUCUGUAGGAAUGACAGGGAUACGAAUGGUAUCUGGUGCUACACGACUUCUGUUUACAAAGAAAUG
rnacentral:lncRNA from 1 species